UACAGGGGGGGCAAGCGUUGUUCGGAAUUACUGGGCGUAAAGGGCUCGUAGGCGGCCAACUAAGUCACACGUGAAAUCCCCAGGCUUAACCUGGGAACUGCGUGUGAUACUGGAUGGCUUGAAUUCGGGAGAGGGAUGCAGAAUUCCAGGUGUAGCGGUGAAAUGCGUAGAUAUCUGGAGGAAUACCGGUGGCGAAGGCGGCAUCCUGGACCGAGAUUGACGCUGAGGAGCGAAAGCUAGGGGAGCAAACGGG
rnacentral:rRNA from 1 species